AAUCUGCCCCUUGGUUCGGAAUAACAGUUAGAAAUGACUGCUAAUACCGGAUGAUGUCUUCGGACCAAAGAUUUAUCGCCAAGGGAUGAGCCCGCGUAGGAUUAGCUAGUUGGUGAGGUAAAAGCUCACAAAGGCGACGAUCCUUAGCUGGUCUGAGAGGAUGAUCAGCCACACUGGGACUGAGACACGGCCCAGACUCCUACGGGAGGCAGCAGUGGGGAAUAUUGGACAAUGGGCGAAAGCCUGAUCCAGCAAUGCCGCGUGAGU
rnacentral:rRNA from 1 species